ensembl:lncRNA
GGCGAUCACAUGUUUACCCAGAGCUCUAUCUCUUUGAGAAACCUCCGUCACGGGUAGCGGAGAGUAACGUUUGCCUCUUUUUGUGUUUUCCUUUUAUUUUGGAGACGGGCACGCACACACGGUCUUUAUGUAUAUAUGCUAAUAGGCUGGCUAACACCGUUUCACACUGUUUGUUUCUGAAAAUGAUGCAACUUGCCAGACAUCCAUUUUUUGCUGAUGUUCACAUUUUCUUUUUUUUUCUUGCCUUUCUCAGGGCGGGCAUUUUGGAGAGAGAAAAUCAGAGAGAGAGAGAGAGACAGAGAGAGAGGAAAAGGAAGAAGAAGAAGAGAGUGGUGGAGGGUGAGAGGAGGAGGAGGAGGAGAAGAGGCGAAAGAGGCUCGUGUUCAAAAUCCACAAAGGUUUUGUAAUAAAUGCAUCGACGACAAUAAAAACAAAAACAUUAAAGGGAGAAAAGACGUGUUUCUGUGUUAAACAAUUAGUGCUGCAGCAUUAGAGCCGAUCAGGAAGAGACAAAAGCUCGGCAGCAGCAGGGGUUUACCCCAGACACAAAGACACAAAGACAGAUGCUCUGCAGCCCAGCCAAGCUACAGUACCAUACUAGCUUUCUCUGGAGCUGCACAGAACCACGUCCACAAUCCAACUGUCUGUGGGUCUGUCAGCGAGACAAAGAGUGCCGCAAUUUAAAUAGAAUUUCUACGUAACCUGCCCCUAAAGGUGUGAUGUUAUCUGUAAUUUCAAGUUACAGUGUAUGUGCUUUUUUUCCCUUUUUGCAGGCAAUGAAUCAUAUCUGUUUCCAGCACUGGAUGUGCAAGCCGCUACAUAUGUGGUAAAUGAUUGACAGGUGCUUUCCCUCCCCUACAGCCUCCUACAGCCUCACAAACAGUACCUGACUGGGCUGAUCUUUUUGCCUGAUUUCAAAAUGAAACCAACAUGGCUGCCCGUUUGCAAACUUUCUUCUAAGUUCUAAUAACAGCCCAGCGUGACAUGUUUCUGGAAACGUGAGGCAAGACAUAAGGCCUGCAGGUGCUGCAUCAAUCUUCAUUUUAGCUCAACAACGGCCGCUUUCGAAGUUUUUCAACGUUUCCACGUUUCUAGAGGUUUCACACCAAGGAGGUUGUGCAAAUGAGGAGUGAGUGACAUGUUCCCCCAUUCCACGAAACACAACGGCACGCUACCAGAAUGCACUGUAAGGCUGGAUACAUGGACAAUGAAAGGUAAGAUCAUCAAACAGUUUUGAAAAGGCAUCCCUUGUUAGAGAGAAAGAGACAGACAGACAAUCUACCAGGUUUUACCACACGAACGCCACAGAGUCUCGCUGAUGAGGUUAAAAGGUAACACUUCAAUCGAGCUCUUAAUGUACACUUCAGCCACAGAAACAACACCACUUUCUCUGCCGUGGCACCUCACACUUUUCAUCUCCCACCUGUUGUUUUCAUUGGAGGAAACCCUUUAAGAUCAGAGCGACCCAACAAAAACAUCAUCUGUUUUCAUGGAUAACAGUUAGCGCUGGUUUUGAAAGAAGCAGAUAAGAUUAUAGUGUCUAAUGAGCAAUGGCCUGAGUACAUCUACCGGGAUAUACGUGUUAGAAGAAGCAGUUCGUCUUCGUGAUUUUGUGUUGGAUCUCUUCCACGAGAUCCUAUUAUAUCCUAUUAUUAAUUUUCUAUAAUCACAGUGGCUCCUGACCGCUAUGUAUAAUGUCUUAAUGUGUUUUACUUGGCUUCGUGUUUUCAAGUAUCAUUGUUUUAACACUAUCUUUGAUUAUGAAUAAUCUUCUGAUGGGUUUGUGAUGGAAAAUGCGCCAUAAGAAACAUUGGGAAAUUGUACUUUGAAAGCCAUUUAAUACCUAGUUAUGUAUUUUAAAUAAAAAACAGUAUUAAAAAUAAGUACUGUUCCUGUGUAUUGUUUUGGUCUAAUUUCCUUUUGAAUUACAUCCACAUUGGAUGAUUAAGAUGAAGUGCUGUUUUUUUUUUUUCAGUAAUCUUAUUAUUUUUCUAACAGUAGCAGCACUGACUUAAACAAUAUAACGAAACUGUCAGUGAUGGAUUGAAUACACUGUUUUGCAGAAUCAUGAAGGAGUGUUCUCUUAUUUCCCAGUCUUUCAGUUAAAAAAGAGAUUUAAAGCACAAAACUCUUAUUCGUGGUCUCUAUCGCCAUACCUUGGUAAUUUGCUAAGCCUAAAGAUGAAUCUGGGACCCCAUCAGCCAUUAUCUGAGUCUAAAGUCAUUCACUACAGUGAACUACAUGGUAAAAUUGCCUCUUU